GGAGAGAUGGCCGAGUGGUUUAAGGCGCACGCUUGGAAAGCGUGUAAAGGGGCAACUCUUUCGCGGGUUCGAAUCCCGCUCUCUCCGCCA
rnacentral:tRNA from 4 species